GACGAACGCUGGCGGCGUGCUUAACACAUGCAAGUCGAACGGAAAGGCCCUGCUUUUGUGGGGUGCUCGAGUGGCGAACGGGUGAGUAACACGUGAGUAACCUGCCCUUGGCUUUGGGAUAACUUCAGGAAACUGGGGCUAAUACCGGAUAGGAGCUCCUGCUGCAUGGUGGGGGUUGGAAAGUUUCGGCGGUUGGGGUUGGACUCGCGGCUUAUCAGCUUGUUGGUGGGGUAGUGGCUUACCAAGGCUUUGACGGGUAGCCGGCCUGAGAGGGUGACCGGCCACAUUGGGACUGAGAUACGGCCCAGACUCCUACGGGAGGCAGCAGUGGGGAAUAUUGCACAAUGGGCGGAAGCCUGAUGCAGCAACGCCGCGUGCGGGAUGACGGCCUUCGGGUUGUAAACCGCUUUCGCCUGUGACGAAGCGUGAGUGACGGUAAUGGGUAAAGAAGCACCGGCUAACUACGUG
rnacentral:rRNA from 1 species